rnacentral:rRNA from 1 species
GACGAACGCUGGCGGCGUGCUUAACACAUGCAAGUCGAACGGAAAGGCCCUGCUUUUGUGGGGUGCUCGAGUGGCGAACGGGUGAGUAACACGUGAGUAACCUGCCCUUGACUUUGGGAUAACUUCAGGAAACUGGGGCUAAUACCGGAUAGGAGCUCCUGCUGCAUGGUGGGGGUUGGAAAGUUUCGGCGGUUGGGGAUGGACUCGCGGCUUAUCAGCUCGUUGGUGGGGUAGUGGCUUACCAAGGCUUUGACGGGUAGCCGGCCUGAGAGGGUGACCGGCCACAUUGGGACUGAGAUACGGCCCAGACUCCUACGGGAGGCAGCAGUGGGGAAUAUUGCACAAUGGGCGGAAGCCUGAUGCAGCAACGCCGCGUGCGGGAUGACGGCCUUCGGGUUGUAAACCGCUUUCGCCUGUGACGAAGCGUGAGUGACGGUAAUGGGUAAAGAAGCACCGGCUAACUACGU